rnacentral:ncRNA from 1 species
UAUCUUGAAUACGGAUGAAAAGGGAAUCAUGUGAGAAUCAUGAGCAGACACCGCCGCUGUAAGUUCCUUAAUUAUUCUUUGAUAAUCACAGCCACUAUCUGUAUGGAUGGGAAGGCAUCAAAGAUGGAGCGAGCCAGAAGACCUGCCAAGUUGUU